rnacentral:lncRNA from 1 species
UUUUUUAUGUUGAAAGAUUAUAGGUCAUUUUGUUUAAACCCUAAUUUGGAGGUCAACUUCCCAAGGCCAUAACUGGCUCAAUUUUUAUGAGAUGAAAGAUUUCAAAGUUUAACGAUCAAAUUCAAUGUGUCUACUUCAACUUUGAUGUUUGGAGGAAGAUCUAAUUCAACUUUUAUGAGCAUGUGGUAUGAGGAUACAUUAUAGGUCAUUU